GAUGAGUGAUGAAAAUAGCCUAAUCCGAGCAUCGGAAAAGACCCCUUAGUCUGCCUGAAGCAUGAUCUCUGUAGUUCUGAGA